rnacentral:lncRNA from 1 species
UGAGGUCUAGGCGUCCCUGACCCCCGCUUCAGGAUCAAAGAGCAGCGGCAUCGGAAUCACACCGCCGAGUAUGACUCUGGCUGGACUGCUAACAAACCUUUCUCUUUGUGAGCCUUGGUUUAUGUUUUUUUCUUUUUCAAGCCGUACCUGCCGCCUACGGAAGUUCCCAGGUUAGGUGUUGAAUCGGAGCUGCACCUGCUGUCCUGUGCCACAGCCAGGGCAAUGCCGAAUCUGAGCCACAUCUGCAACCUACGCAUCAGCUCGUGGCAAUGAUGGAUCCUUAAUCCACUGAAUGAGGCUGGGAUUAAACCCACUCCAUCAAGGACACUCUGUCGGGUUCUUAACCCAUUGAGGCAUAAUGGGGACUCCUUGAGCCUUCAUUUUACCACCUCUGGGAUGGAAUGUAUUGUUAGCUAUUGUUACCUGAUGGAGUUAGAUACUGUGUAGGUAGAAUGACUGGCAGAGCGCCGGGCACAGAGACGGACGCUGUUAUCAGUUGCUGUCUUGUAGUGAUGGUUUUCUGCCAUGAUCAGCUCUGAGAUGAAAGUGAUGGGCGUUGCCAGGACUGUUUUAAAGGCAGGAACUAUAAACCUGCACAGUAAGCCAGGUGUCCUGAAGACAGCUUGAGAGCAGAACUCCGAGUUCUUUCUAACAUGUUUGGAAGCCGUGUCCUGUGAAUGCCGCCUGCAGUCGUGGGUCCACAGGGCUGCAGAGAAAGCCCUGAUAAAUCGCACAACCCCUCAGCGGCCCACUCCCUUUGCUGGCACUCCAGGCACUGCCGUUUCUCACCCUGUUAGGGGUUUCCCUGUGUGUCCCCUAGACAGCUGCUCCUGUCCCCCACUCCCAGCCGAGAUGCUCCCACCGUCCAGAAUUCAAGAUUUGUCACGCCUGAGAAUUGGGUGCUGGGGCAAAGAUGCUAGAUUUCUUUUCUUGGUAGAUUCUGAGCUCUCUGUGAUCAAACACAGUUGGUAGAUCAGCAGACAUUUCUUUUUUACAUGUACGUUUUAUUAGACUGUGAAUUUCUUGACCUUUCUUACCUGGCAAUUUAAGCAAAUUUUGGGACCAGACCCAGUCAUGGAACCCGAUUUGAUUUUCUUUUUCCCCAUCCAGAGUCACUUGUUGCUUUGAAAAGCCAACUUUUGUUUUUCAGCUUUGUAGUGUAUCUUAUGCAUGAUAGGAGAAGAAGGAGAAGGAAACAAUUUAGGAGUUGAUGCGGAAUUAAAAUGUUCCAUUAGUUCCCCUGCCUGAGGUGAUUACUCUUAAUAAUGUGGUCUUCGUUCUUUUUUCUUUCUUCUGAGUAAUGACGUUUUAAAAAGUUGGGCUCAUGAUCUAUGUGAAUAUGUGUGUACGUACAUGUAUGUAUGUAAGAGUUUCCUAAGUAAGAAUUUCUUUAUCUUAAAUAAGAAUUUCUCAUGUCACUAAACAUUGCAUAGAAAAAUGCCUCAGUGUUGUCGUAAGAGUGUAUCAUAUGAAUGAAUUCUAUUUUGUUUAACUCUUUCUCUGGUGUUGGGUAAUUAGGCUGUUUUACAGUUUGAACGCUGUAUUUUUCUCUUUUUUUUUUUUCAGAAAAUUUGCUUAUUCGUCUUUAUUUAAAAAUUAUUUUUUCCCAGUUUAAUGGAGGUGUAACUGACCUAUACAGCACUGUGUCAGGUUAAGGUGUGUCGCAUAAUGACUUACAUAAAACGUGAAACGGGCCCUGCACUCUUAAAAAUAAGGACUCGAGUUUAUUUAAUGACUUACUUUUGCCUCAGAUUUUGUCAUUUGAGCAUAAUAGUUAUGACAGCUGACUCCCGGCAUCCCUUCACCUAUACCAAUGAACCGAAGCCAUGAAACAAGCAAAUGUAAUUGGCUUAGAACCAGAUGUGUGACCCAACCCUGACCUCUGAAAAUGGGAGGCACUUCUGGGAAAGGUUUUCUUACUCCUAAAAGUGUUGCAUAAGGAAAAGAUAGACUUUCUGCUUCUGUUGGAUGUUGACUCAGCCUGGACGCACUGCAGCCGCCUUGUGCCCAAGAGGCCUUCCAGCGUGAGGCGAAGCUGUCCCCAAAGGGGUCAGAGAAGCAAGUGAAAAACCUGGAUAAGUGGGGCAUUGUGAGCUGCUGGUUCCCCUGUGCCUGUGGCCUCUCUUCCUCUGGACUUGCAGUUUUGAGUUGGACUUGAAUCAUGCAUCUGUUACUUUCAGGUCAACACACCCUAAGUCAUUUUAGUGGCAUGAGCAAAUAUAAAAUCUGCCCACUGCAAAGAUGUGUGCAGAAGGAGAAGCAGCGAUUCAGAGUUGAAGAUGGGCCCAAGGUCACGUCCCGCUUGGGGAACCCAGACCACUGCACAAGCUUCUUUUUUUGGUCGUCUGUUUGCUGCUUAAAGCAAAGUGCCUCCCCCUGGCUUCCCGUAGCGCGACGCUCUCCAAGAGCCCGAGUGAUGACAGGGAGUGAGCCCAGGAUGCAAGGUCGGGCAGUGUGGUUCUCACGCUGGUUGGCACCCUGCGCCUGUGUGUGCGAUUCCCGCCGAGUGUCUCAACCCCUCUCAUCCCCAGACCCCUUACGAGUUAAGGAAGUUGAUAUACUGACCCGAGAAUCAGGAGACAGGAGUUCCCUCGGAGAAACAGUAAGUGGUCGCACAGUUAUUGUCAUUGUCACAGUAUGCUCCAGGGACAUUUGUCAAGGGCGUAUCUCCUACUACAGGCCAGGCUCGAUUUUCAGUGCUAGCAGUAGGGCAGCGCACAGAUACCGCCGCCUUCGUGUUUUUUAUAUUCUAAGGAAGGUGGCAGAAAGGAGCCGGAAAGAAUUGACUGAGCACCUGGAAGCGAGUCUCAAGUUCUUUGUAGAUUCUGAUUUCUCCAUGAUCUAAAUAGUCAUUUCAGGUGAGCAGUUACGAUUUUUGUUUCUCUCUCUAUCCAUCUAUCUGUCCGUCCAUCCAACCAUCCUGCCCCCUCCCCUCUCCCUCCUCUCUAUACACAGGCAUGCGCGUGCACACGCACACACACUCUUACAUAUCUUAUAUUCUAGAUUCUGAUUUCUCCAUCAUCUAAACAGUUUUUCAGGUGAGCAGUUACUCUUUUUGUCUGUCUAGCCAUCCCUCCCUCAUUUGUUUAUGCCUUUGAAGUUCUUAACCUUUCUUAACCGGCAUCCUAAGUACAUCAAUUGGACAUUGGGCUCCCACUUACUGUUAACGGCUGUCUUGGUAUUUUGCAAAUAGACUGGUGUUUCCUAAAUUGUGUCCCCAGGAUGCCUGGUUGUUGCAGUUGCAGUUUCUGAUGUGCGUGCGCACUCCUGUGAGUGUUUGUGUGUGUGAGUGUGUGUGUGUGUGUGUGUGAGCAAGUGCACGUGUGUUCAUCUCAGCGAUAACCUAGAAAGGUGAACUAAGCAGCUAAGGCUCUUCUGGGUGACCACCUUACAGGCCAUCAGAGGUGCAUCACCACGCCUGUGUUUGCAUUCUGAGCCGGUGGUGACUUUGGCCUGACUCUAUCUUAUGCACAAGGAAACUGAGGCUCAGGGGAGCGUGGGGGUGUGCCUCGGCUGCACAGCCCUGUGGGUGCAGGCCUGAGGGGUGUUGUGGGGCCCCGUCCCCUCCCACACUGGCCUCUGCCUCUGCCUCUCGCCCCUGUCAUCAUUCCUGGGACGUGGGCUCUAAAUCUGAUUUGAUUACUGAGGACAAACUAGCUUAUAAAAUGCUGCAGAGCAGUGUCUUUCCUCUCCGAGAACUGGAUAUAAUAAAGUUGGCUUGAUCUCCCCAGCCUGUAUCUUGAGGGAACAAGUAAAUUAAACAAGUAAUUAUAUCCAUAAUGUUUUUAGAAGUUAGAAGAUUUAAAUAUAUGAAUCUCAUCUGAGCUUGCUGCCUUUUGUCUGCGGUGUUUCCUGCCAAAAGAUCUCUUGACAGGAAAUAAACAUUAAAAUAAUCUUUAAUCCCUUGUCUGGUCUAUUACCAUUAACAAUUGAUGCACUUUAAUUUUGUGGGAUUUUAACUACAAAAUGGAACGGCUAAGUAGUGAUAAUUGGGUUUGGAAUUAUACGGUCAUUUAUAUCAACAGAGAUGCAAGAGGCUGGGAGGGAGGGUGAUUAAUUAUUUACUCUUUCCUGGCUGUGGUUCCUAUUAUAGAAUUUUCUGAUAUGUUCUGCUGUGAACAAUUAUCACCAAAUGAAAGUAAACAAAUCUGUGAUCUGAAGCCUUAUUUAGAAGUUAGUCUAUAUUUAGGUGAUCAGGGCUUGGUUUUCAUGGACCCUGUGGGCUGGGCGCAUUCCUUUUCUCAGGGUCCCGCCAGCUCUGAAUUUGAAUAUGCUUCUCUCUCUGCAUCUUAAAAACUCUAGAACAUGCAGCCCUGGGGAGACCCCUCGGUUUGCCAGGGGAGGACCACACCAGCCCUGAGCCAGAUCUCUGGUCAGUGCCAGCGAUGUAUCUGGGAGGGGGGCCUGGGUGGAUCCUCCGCAUCCCUGGCUUGCUGCAUCACGGCGCGGCGGCGCGGGGAGACCCAGGAGCAAAAUGGGUGUGUCCGCCUGAGAGCAAGGGUGGUGCUCUGAUUUCUCUGCGUGCGAGUGGGUGCUCAUGGAGCCCCCCUUCCUGCCUCCGUCUCCCCGUCCUCGUUCAGUGACCCAUCCACGCUGUGAUCAGGCCUUUGCAGGGGGCAGUCACCCAUCCGACACGCACUCCCCUUCUGCCUCGCUUGGUGGUGACCCGCAUCCGUAGAGCACACCCGCGUAUCUUUUUGCCUCUCCCUCCAUGUGACUCCUUCCAAAGCCAGGGGCCGGCAUCCUUAAGUAGACAGAUCCCUCUGAUGUGCGGGGAUCGAUGGGUCCUGGGUACCAUGUGUUCCCUGGGAAGUGGCAGGACGCGUAAAGCAAAGGGGUGGGCACAAGCCAUGCCGAGCGUCACUCGGACAGUCAUGGUCCAUUCCCAGGCUCUGUGCCGUCAGGGCCUGGGACCAGACGUGUGAUAAGCAAGGUUGCCCUCCGGGGUCACGCCCUCAUGUAAUUCUGCGCGUGACAAGCCCUCUCCUGGUGCCUGUCUACCUGCCCAAUGAGCAGCUGCUCCCGCAUCCACCUGCAGGGUCCCCCAGCCAGGGACUGUCUUGGUGCCUCCCCCGCCCCAGAUGUCCUGCCAUCACUGAUUGGUCACUCCCUGCCUCCGGUCCAACCACGGUCCUCCUCCUCAGCAUCACCACCCUGGCCGCGGUCACCGUCAUGCCUGGCCUGGGUCACGGCCGUCCUCCCUCCCUGGUCUCCACACUCCCAGCAGCCUGGGCCCCGCAGGUGCAGGUCGUAGGCCCCCCUGCUCUUCCCUGCAGGCGAUUCUCAAAGGAGGCAGAGCCCACCUUGCCUUGCGUAGCUUGGGAGGCGGAGCAGAGCAUGGCCGGGGACCCCCAGGGGCCACACCUGACUCUUGGUGUGUUGUUCUUGUUUAUGACUAGCUCACUGUCAUCGGGGGGUAGAGUGUGGAUGUUGGUGGGGACGACCCCGUGAGGAGGAAUCGAGCGGUGCUGGACACACGGGAGACGCGGGACUCAGGGGCCAAGAGACUUUGCUGUUUGACCUUCUCUCCGAGUUUCUCACCCUCAGGCUAUUGAUUUGCGGUGUGGGUAACUCGGCUGUAGGGCCUUCCUGUGCCUUGCGGGACGCUUCCCAGCAACCCUGGCCUCUCCUCACUAGAUGCCAGUCGCUCCCGCCUCCCUCCCAAGUCCUAAAAAGCCAAAGAUGUCUGUAGGUGCUGCCAGAUAUCCCUUGGGCAGAGGGCAAACCAACCCCCAGUUGAGAAGCCCUGCUUUACACCCUUCUCCACAGUUUAGGUGUCCCCCCGCCCCAAGAAGAGAGUAUUUACACCAUUCUAUAAUGGAACCAGAGAAAGUGUUGAUGGAACCAGAAUGCUGACGUGAACCCCUGCUUCAGUGAUGCCCGUUAAUGUACCAGGCCCUACUCUGGACACUUGGUCUGUGUGCAGUAAUUCAUUCCUCCAAGAAUUCCAUAAGCUACAAAAAAAAAAAAAAAAAAAAAAAAAA